rnacentral:piRNA from 2 species
GGCCCCAUGGUGUAAUGGUUAGCACUCUGGAC